GCCUGACUGGCUGAGUUGGUAGAGUAUAUGACUUUUGAUCUCAGGGUCAUGAGUUCAAGACCCAUAUUGGGCA
rnacentral:tRNA from 1 species